GGUGAACGCUGGCGGCGUGCUUAAGACAUGCAAGUCGAACGGCAGUCUUCGGACUGUAGUGGCGCACGGGUGAGUAACGCGUAACUGACCUACCCCAAAGUCGCGGAUAACGAUUCGAAAGAAUCGCUAACACGUGAUGUGCUGUCAGAUUGUGUUCUGCCAGUAAAGAUUGAUUGCUUUGGGAUGGGGUUGCGUUCCAUCAGCUAGUUGGUGGGGUAAAGGCCCACCAAGGCGACGACGGAUAGCCGGCCUGAGAGGGUGGCCGGCCACAGGGGCACUGAGACACGGGUCCCACUCCUACGGGAGGCAGCAGUUAGGAAUCUUCCACAAUGGGCGAAAGCCUGAUGGAGCGACGCCGCGUGAGGGAUGAAGGUCUUCGGAUCGUAAACCUCUGAAUCAGGGACGAAAGACACUUCGGUGGGAUGACGGUACCUGAGUAAUAGCACCGGCUAACUCCGUGCCAGCCGCCGCUGUAAUAC
rnacentral:rRNA from 1 species